GCUGGCUAACAUUUGGGCUGCCGUUUGCCAGACGGAGAGAACGAGUCCCAGGGAAUGGAAGCGAUUUGCCCAACACUUGCUUCAUCUCCUGCCACACUCAGCAUCUCCUUCCCAUCCCCCUCUUCUGACCACACAACCACCAAGCUACUGCUCCCACCUCAACAAGCUUUGCUUGGACCCAGCGCACGCUCUUUCAACAUCUGUGCCUUUACCCAUGGUGCUCCAGGGCUGCCUAGUACAGCUGUGCAAGUUGGACACAGCACAAGGGUGCCACAUGCACGUUGUAGACGUCGCAGAUUUAUACCAAUAAUUUCUGGCAGAUGGCAGUAAAACGUCUCGAGGAGAAAGAUCCCAGUUUGGUGCAAACGUGUCUUUCAUACCUCUCUCCAGAGCUUGCUCAUCGCUCAUCUUGACAAAGAGCAAGGCAGGCUGACAGCCUUGAUGAGGCAGUGGUGUCUGCUGAGCAUUCAAUACUUGGCCUUCUGUAAAUUGUAUUUAUUUAUACGAUUGCUUUCUAUCUAUGGCAUAUGAUGCUGACUUUCCGCUUCCUGUAGCGUUAUAAAGUUUUAUGUACAAAUCAAUGCA
ensembl:lncRNA